rnacentral:rRNA from 1 species
UACGGAGGGUGCAAGCGUUAUCCGGAUUCACUGGGUUUAAAGGGUGCGUAGGCGGGCUGGUAAGUCCGUGGUGAAAUCUCUGAGCUUAACUCAGAAACUGCCAUGGAUACUAUUUGUCUUGAAUAUUGUGGAGGUAAGCGGAAUAUGUCAUGUAGCGGUGAAAUGCUUAGAUAUGACAUAGAACACCAAUUGCGAAGGCAGCUUACUACGCAGUGAUUGACGCUGAGGCACGAAAGCGUGGGGAUCAAACAGG